rnacentral:lncRNA from 1 species
GUUUUCACAUCUACAUACGUGUCCCGACUUCAAGGCUUUGUGAAGUUUUCUCACUUUGUCAAAUGGUUUCUGCACUGCAACUCGUAACCAAAUAUGUAUGUUGCUCUCACAUCACAGGACAAAGUCGACGACAGUUCUCUUUUGGUUUGGCUUCUAUGAUCCUCUCGAAGCGUCCUCUCUCACAUGCACGAGCACAGCAAUGGAAUAUUAAAUUCAUUCAAAUCAAAAUGAUAGAAAUACACUGAGAAUAUUUUGGGAUCCAACAUACAAUACUGCAUACACUUUUUGAACAGAAUCAGCGCAGAGCAUUUAUUAAUUUUAUCAUCU